rnacentral:lncRNA from 1 species
GAACAAGAGAUACAAUGAACCUAGACAUAUACGCAUCCCAUGGAGCCCAGUCACCCUAACGCCUAUAAAAAUAGGAGAACAUUCAAGAACCAAGAACAAGAACACAAAGCCAACGCCAAACAAAAAAAGAACAGACAAAGAAACUUUGAAAAGAAAAUGGGUAAAGGAGGAAACCUUAUGACGGCUUCGGAGGUGGAGGAGCUACGACGGAAGAACGGGGAGAUGGAAAAAGAGGUGGAGGAAAUGAAGAAAGAGAUGUUGCAGUUGUGGCGGCGGACGCAGGUGGCGGAGGAAGCUGAGGAGCGUCUCUGCUCUCAGCUCGC